AGUCCAGGUAAUGGAGCAGAGACUGGAGCAGAGACAAGUUGUUCCCACUGAGCUCUCCUCAGAUUACAGAUUGGGAGUGGCAAAUCAAAGGCAUUGCAGCCUCUUUCAUCACUGCCGAUUGCUGAUGCCAACCAUGUGCCAAGUGCUUAAUACGUCACCUUAAAUCUUCUCAUCCACCCUCAGAGCUGCAGCAUCAACCCAGUGCCCUGACUUUCAAGACGACUAUGAAAACACCCCAACUGCUGCUAAAUUACCAGCAACAAGGAUCUGACAUUCUUAUUCAAAAGAAAGAACACCGAAAUUGACCUUACCCUGACAAUAUGAUGGCUGAAGGAUUUAUGAUCACUUAUAACAUUUGAAAUUGAGGCGGAACCUGAAGAAUAAGACUCUGGUGAAAGGUCCUAUUUAUGCUUUUGAUGUCUUUCACUUGGACAUUUACCACAUGCCUAUUGGUAGGUUUGUUACAUAGGUCAGUUAAGGUGAUACAAGAAUAAAUAAAACACUAUCCCUAUCCUUUAAUAUCAUUUAUUUAUGGGGUCAAUCACAGAUUUUCAUUUUUCAAAAUCUUUGAUAAAUGUCAGAAUUAUGUUUUUUAAUAUUUUUACAGAAUUAUUACAAUAUAUGGUAGAGGAUGGAAGGCAAGGUAGUAUGAAACGGAAAAGAUAUUUUGAAUUAAGGUAUUUGGACCUGGAUUAAUAUUUUUGCUUUGGUCUUUAUUAGCUGAGUGACCUUGAGAAAGUUCUUCUACUAAAAAAGAACAAAGAUAAUAAUUACUUCAUGAAAUUGCUGUAAAAAACACAUAACAAGUAUAUCCAGACUCAACAGUGUAUGCUCAAAAAUGCAGAUCCUUUUUCCCUUACCUGCAAAUAAAGUCUUACAGUAAUACAGUGGGGGUAAAGGUUUAAACUGGUGGAUUCAAGAAGGGCUAUAGAAAGAGGUAGCAUCUUAAUAGGGGAAGGAGAGGAUCCAAGAAAUCAGAUCCAUUUUCUACAAAAAGAAAUGGGAAGACAGAUAAUUCAAGAAGAAAAGUUUACAUGAUUAAAGACCCGAAGUUAGAAAUAGUGAUGUGUCUCAAUAGUAAGUUAGGAAUUGGGGUGGACACAAUUGUUGGAAGAAGGAUGGUUUCAGCAAAGGCCCAAGUUAGGUGACAAUUUCAAGUGUUUGUGAAGAUAUAUGAACAAAAUUAUAAAGUAGUUAGGGUAUAAGAAAUAGGGAGGAGGGAAUGAAUUAACAUUUAUGGAGUGUCUUGCAUGUUCCAAGCACUGUACUACUUGCCUUAUAAACCUUUCUUCAAUAAACGCCUACAACAAUCCUGA
rnacentral:lncRNA from 1 species